rnacentral:rRNA from 1 species
UGGGGAAUCUUGCGCAAUGGGCGAAAGCCUGACGCAGCAACGCCGCGUGAGGGAAGAAGGCCUUCGGGUUGUAAACCUCUUUCAGUAGGGACGAAGCUUCCGGGGUUAAUAGCCUACGGGGUGACGGUACCUACAGAAGAAGCCCCGGCUAACUACGUGCCAGCAGCCGCGGUAAUACGUAGGGGGCAAGCGUUGUCCGGAAUCAUUGGGCGUAAAGCGCGUGUAGGCGGCUUGGUAAGUCUGGCGUGAAAUCUUGGGGCUCAACCCCAAGCCUGCGCUGGAUACUGCCUCGCUCGAGUCCGGGAGAGGAAAGCGGAAUUCCCAGUGUAGCGGUGAAAUGCGCAGAUAUUGGGAAGAACACCGAUGGCGAAGGCAGCUUUCUGGAACGGUACUGACGCUG